rnacentral:rRNA from 1 species
GCUUACGGCCAUACCACCCUGAACACGCCGAUCUCAGAGAAGCUAAGCAGGGUCGGGCCUGGUUAGUACUUGGAUGGGAGACCGCCUGGGAAUACCAGGUGCUGUAAGCU